rnacentral:rRNA from 1 species
UACGAAGGGUGCAAGCGUUACUCGGAAUUACUGGGCGUAAAGCGUGCGUAGGUGGUUUGUUAAGUCUGUUGUGAAAGCCCCGGGCUCAACCUGGGAAUGGCAAUGGAUACUGGCAAGCUAGAGUGCGGUAGAGGGUAGUGGAAUUCCCGGUGUAGCGGUGAAAUGCGUAGAUAUCUGGAGGAACACCGGUGGCGAAGGCGACGUCCUGGACCGGCAUUGACGCUGAGGCGCGAAAGCCAGGGGAGCAAACGGG